AUAUAGAGGUAUGCGGGGUAUAUAGAGGUAUGCGGGGUAUAUAGAGGUAUUCGGGGUAUAUAGAGGUACACGGGGUUUAUAGAGGUACACGGGGUUUAUAGAGGUACACGGGGUUUCGUUCAUAUGUAGUGAACUUUGUCGACAAAAAGUUCACUACAUAUGACCGAAACGGUUCUUCUGUUUUCUUAACUCUUACUAUCACUACUUGUGUGUUGCGACACACAACUUUUCAAAAGCGAAUUUGUUAAGUCCCCCAAGUCAGUUCCUGAUCAUCCUGGCUGUGGUGCUUACAUUGGUCUUGGUGUAAUUUGCACCAACAACAGUGAUCCCAGGAACUGUCAUUAAGUAAAUUACAAAUAAACUACAGGUAUACAUCAUUCAUAAGUCACUAUACAUAUAGUACACAACAUGAAGUUGGAGCCAACCACUGAGCCAUAUUUCGUUUGUUAUAUUUACUUUAUUUCUCUGAUGUAUACACUAUGUGAUGUAUACACUGAUGUAUACACCAUUCGAAACUAUUUAAACGCGAGUCAGUCAAGGAAAGAAUGAUUACUCAUUGAGUAAUGACUUUGAGAAGAGCAUAUCCAGAGUAAGGGUGCUGAUGGUUGCCCGUCGUGUGGCGUAAUACCUGUCUUGUGGCUGUCCAGUGUUGUGCAAGUGAGGGACCGUAAGAAAAUAUGACUUGUUCAUAACAGUAAGAUAACCGACAUCUCUCUGGUGUUGAUAAAUUUGCUGAAAUUACAGGUUCAAAGAGGCCGGGACGAGGCAAGAGAGGAGUCGCUUGCACGGUCCUCUGCCUUACCCAGAAGGCGGAGAUGGGGUCUUGGCAGACAGUUCAAGAGCGUGGUGCAUAUUGAAGGUGAGAUGAGUGUUGCUGUACUGUUGCUGUACUGUUGCUGUGCUGUGGUGAGGUACUGCUGUCUACCUGUUGUGGUCUAGGACCCUGCAGGUAACUACUGCCCACCUGCUAUGGUCCGGGAGGUGAUGAGAUAGUAGCGGUUUACUGUCUACCAGCAGGUAGGAACCAGUCCUCGUCCAGCACCACUCACACCCCACUCUACUCACACUUAGAACCCCCACUCACAUUAACACCACUCACACUCCAGGCUACUUCAACUCCCAGUAGUACAGUUGCACUCCAGUCCUCUGUCCCUCUCACUCUCAGUAGAGCUAAUAGCACUCCAGUCCCAUUUCACUCAGUAGUACCAAUAGAACUUCAGUCCACUUUCACUCUUAGAACCAGUAGAACUCCAAUCCACUUUCACUCUCAUUAGUACCAAUAGCACUCCAGUCUACUCAUAACUUCCACUCACGGUAAUACCACUCACUUGCCUGACAACUCGCACUCAAUACCUCUUAAGUAGUUGUUCAAGUGUGUUUCUACACAGUCACCUGGCUACUUAUCUACCUAUUUACCUACCUGUUUGUACCUAUUCAACCCCCUGUUAAGCAACUGCUAUUCUCUCUCUCCCUCCCCCAGUAACCUUGCAUGUUGUUUUGUGUGUGUGUUUGGCAGUUUAAUACUAUAUUAUAUGAUUGUACUCAAAGCAGUGGUGGUACUAAAAUAUUUAAAGGUAAUUUCCCGUAAGAUAAUAUGAGAUGAGUAUCAAGGAUGUGUGACGUUAAACACAUAUUCAAGGAGCAGCUGCGAUACUGUCACGCACCUGUUAGUACAUAUGUACAUCGAGUGAUUGACACUUGUACCUUAGAUAGCUGGAUACUUGUACGUCAAGUACUUGGACAGGUUUACGUCAAAUAUUAGUACAGGUGUACAUCAAGUACCUGGAAAAGUGUACAUCAAGUACCAGGACAGGUGUACAUUAAGUACCUGGACAGGUGUACAUCAAG